rnacentral:lncRNA from 1 species
CAGACACUAGAUGCCAUAACCCAUCUCUUUUUGUAUUUUAGGUUGGGCUUCCCGAUGAUGGUGGUGUCCUGCACUGUCGGGAUGUGUUAUCUCCUUGUUGCUCAUGUUGUAGUGGGAUGGAAUGAAUAGAUAUCCAUCAAUGGAAGAUUAAGGGAUACCUGGUCCAUCACCAACAUCUGUCAUAAAACUACCCCAGGACCACUCUUUGGAGAAGAAAAGGUGCUUAUUCCGGGAUGGUGCUGCAUGGAGAUGCGCUGGAACAGACCUUUGGCAUUCACAAACACACUCUUGAUUGAAUGAAUGCUGGAAAAUCAUGGUGUUCUCUUUAUGCCAUUUCUCCCUGAGAUGGGGUUGGCAGGGGGACAAAAGUAUAGGCAAUACAAGAUAACUUACCCAAGUGUCCCCUACUGGAAAAUAUGUAUGUUACAAAAACACUUCUUGCUAUCCUGUGUAGAAAAAGACACAAAUCCACUCAAAAUAGCUUGUGCUAUUUAAUUGUCACUUCUCCUGAAACUAAAGACAGUUUUUCUUUAUGUAUUCAAUUUUCAUGUUAAAAUAAUCAGCAUUCAAAUGGUGUGCCCCUGAAUAUAGAUUCUUUCUGGGAAAAAAGCAUACCACUUGUAAG